GAUGAUUUUCAGGGCAUGGUGAGUCUUGUGUUGCAAGACAAUUCCAGACCGGCGGUUACAGCCCGCGACUCCCUACUCCAGGGGACUGAACUGGUGAAACUCCAGUGCCGACGGUACAGUCCGGACGGAAGAAAAUCGCA
rnacentral:ncRNA from 2 species